UACGUAGGGGGGCAAGCGUUGUCCGGAUUUAUUGGGCGUAAAGAGCGUGUAGGCGGCCUGAAAGGUCAGCUGUGAAAACUCGAGGCUCAACCUCGAGACGUCGGUUGAAACCAUCUGGCUAGAGUCCGGAAGAGGAGAGUGGAAUUCCCGGUGUAGCGGUGAAAUGCGCAGAUAUCGGGAAGAACACCCGUGGCGAAGGCGGCUCUCUGGGACGGUACUGACGCUGAGACGCGAAAGCGUGGGGAGCGAACGAGG
rnacentral:rRNA from 1 species